rnacentral:rRNA from 1 species
CCUACGGGGGGCAGCAGUGGGGAAUAUUGGUCAAUGGACGAAAGCCUGAACCAGCCAAGUAGCGUGAAGGAUGACUGCUUUCUGGGUGUUAAACUUCUUUUAUAUGGGAAUAAAAUAUUCCACGUGUGGGAUUUUGUAUGUACCAUAUGAAUAAGGAUCGGCUAACUCCGUGCCAGCAGCCGCGGUAAUACGGAGGAUCCGAGCGUUAUCCGGAUUUAUUGGGUUUAAAGGGAGCGUAGGUGGAUUGUUAAGUCAGUUGUGAAAGUUUGCGGCUCAACCGUGAAAUUGCAGUUGAAACUGGCAGUCUUGAGUACAGUAGAGGUGGGCGGAAUUCGUGGUGUAGCGGUGAAAUGCUUAGAUAUCACGAAGAACUCCGAUGGCGAAGGUAGCCUGCUGGACUGCAACUGACGCUGAGGCUCGAAAGUGUGGGUAUCAAACAGGAUUAGAUACCCUUGUAGUC